CGCCAAUUUGGCCGGAGCAGUCCUGGCCGCCGCCCAUCGCCCCCAGCCCCGGGAGGGAAAGCCGGCGCGAGCCGGGGCGGCCCGGGGAAGGCGGGCGAGGGCGCAGGACGCCGGGAACCCUGACAGUUUCUGAAAGACUCAAAGUAAUGCCAAGAACUUCCAGGUGAAGGAGACCUUCAUAGACCUGUAACUGGAUUAGCCACUUCUUGAAUUGCAAGAGGAAGUUACAACUAAUUCUCAGGAUCAAAGUCAAAACAAGCCUGUGACUCCAUGAAUACUGAAGUGCCAGGACUACUCUUCAAGGCCUGUUCCUCAGCAGCUUCUGCAAUUUCCUGGCAACCACGGUAGAUCCCAGAGACCAAAGCCCCAGUGAGCAAGAGGGGCCAGCUUCUUCCCACCUCCGGCCACCAGCCUGUGCUGCCUACAUACGGCCUUCUCUGCUGUAGAACCCAUGGGGAAGCAGCGCACACAAUGGCGUGCGUGUUCCCGGCUUCUGGCUGCUCUGGGCACCCUCAAGGAAGCGUGGAGCAGGGAGGCCUCGAGCAACUUCGAGGCCUUGGUGCCUUCCCUUUGCCCCCCGGAACACUUGAGAGGCAGGAGCUAGGGUGGAGAUUUCUUACCCCACCCAACUUCCUCUUGCAAGUACCGCUGCAACUCUUCCCCAAGAAGAGAGGCCCCCGGCCCUGGGCGCCGUCGGCGGCCGGCGCCCCUCCCCCUUCUUUCUCUGCUUCUCUGAGACCCAGGGAGGGAGGAGGCAGGCGCCUCUGCAGAUAGAGCAGCUAUUGUGACCUUCCCUCGCAGAGCGGGAACCCAGCCGAGUGUGUACUGCCGAGUGUGUACUGCCGGCGGUGGCGGGGGAGGAGGCGACUGUGUGCAAACCUUGGCUUGGGAGGGGGUGGCACUGGGAAAUAAAGGUUUGCAACCUUGGGCAGUUGGGUCCUUCAGAGGGCGUUUGGUUGUGUUUAGACUUGGGUGCUUCCUAACACUAAUUGCAGGCUCAAGAAGGGGAAUUUAUGGUGAGGGCCAAGGCGGCUUGUUUAUAAUUUAUGAAGUUUUAAAAGGCUGUGCCAGGGGCCCGGCUCUCACCAGGGCGGGUGGCCGCGUGGGAGCACGCUCUCCAGGACUCGCUGCCGCCCCCACUCACGCUGGGAGCGAUCGAGUGUGCCCAUCACAUGACUCACGCCAGUGACAGGAACGGAUUGGAGCCACUCUCAGAUGUCUUGGGAACCACCAGAGGUGGGGAAAAGCCAAGAUUUGGUCCUAGCCAACCGCCCCCCCGACACACACACCCUGGAACGGAGGGCCCCGGGGAGCCGCAGCUGCUCAGAGAGGGAGCCCCCAGCCCGGCACUUCUUGGUGCCUGAGUGUGAGAGGAAGCUGAUGUCAGCCUGGCAAGACACCGUUUAAAGUCUAAUCCAUGAAACCCAAAGCCACAGAUGACACUUGGGGCUUUGCAGACACCCGCAGACUCAGCAGAUACUACUGUGGUAACACAGGGCGCUGGAAAACGCCUGAAGCCAUGAUGCAUUAUGUAUUUUUAUUAUUAUUAUUUAUGGUAGGAAGAGAUGAGGGAAAACCAGGAUGAAUCUAAACAGCCUGACGAUUCAUCUAUUUAAUAUUUAGCCAGUUAAGAAAGGUGGUUGUAAUCCUUGCAAGGCAACAAGAUCUUGAUUCCCCUAAUAGCUUAAAAAAUAAUUUUGUACAAGACAAUUAGAAAUUCUGCCUAUGGAUGCAAAUUUCAUAGAAAACAAUGUUAAGCCUUGAAACUGGGUAAAAUGUCUUCAAAUGAAGUCAUUUAUUCUGUCGAUACACAUCUACAACAUACAUACUUUAAACCUGCUCAGAUAAAGUGAAAUUUAGCAAAAUAUCCCCUCCUGCCCCCAAUCUAGCAUGCCAUUUUAAAAACAGCACAACAGAACAAAAAAACUGAAUGUUAUUUUGAGCCAUCAUUAGUGAAACACAAACAUCCAAAUAGAAACAAUUGUUGUUCCACCAGAAGAUAAGUUAAAUUAUUUCCACACAAUAGGGAUUUCACCUCUUGUCACCAAGGAUGUAGUAGGAGUUGCAUUAUUUGUCAAACCAAAUAGAGAUGCGUGGGCUGACUUUGCUAAAAUACAAAAGAAUUGAAACUUAUUUGAAGGCGUUUUCAAGUGUCCCCUCCCAUAGAAGCGAGUGUUGUCUGCUGCUAGCUAGAGCCACAUUAAUAUUUACAAAAUGGUUAUGAAUCUUUGAAGACAUAUUUGCCCGUUUUGUACAAAGAAACAGGAGUAAACAGUUUUUAUACGUGUUAUGUUCCAUUAGUGAAACAUUUAUUACUUUACAUCGUGGAGAACAUUUGUUUUCUUUAGAAAUGAACUACCCACCACUACAAAGGAAAACUUCACAACAGCAUUUCCUAGAGAAAAGGCUUAGGUGCCUGUCUCCAAAUGAUUUUUUUUGGCACCUUAGCUCUUCAUAGCUCAAGUCUUAUGAAUUCCUUUGUGUCUUUUCUUUGAUUGUCAGUUUUCUUUCAAAGUUUUUUUAUUACUUAAUGCAGAAAAAUGAGCUCUGGCCUCCCUAAUGUAACAGUUGAUUGUGUCUGGAGAGAGGAUGAUAGAAAUGGCCAGGCAGGCGCUGCAGUGGCAAAGCCCUGUCCCAGUCAUCCCACACAGGACAUUUCUAGGUUUGCACCCUCAGACACCCCCCCUCCAUUUCAAUAACUGGAAUGUAAGCAAGUAUCACCCAAAAAAUCAAUUUAUGUACUAGAUUCCAAAUAAAUAAAAGUUUUUC
ensembl:lncRNA